UACGUAAGGGGCGAGCGUUGUCCGGAUUCACUGGGCGUAAAGGGCGCGUAGGCGGUCUGUUAAGUCAGGGGUGAAAGCUCCAGGCUCAACCUGGAAAUUGCCUUUGAAACUGGCAGGCUUGAGUGCUCCAGGGGAAAGUGGAAUUCCUGGUGUAGCGGUGAAAUGCGUAGAUAUCAGGGAGAACACCGGUGGCGAAGGCGGCUUUCUGGGGAGCAACUGACGCUGAGGCGCGAAAGCUAGGGGAGCAAACAGG
rnacentral:rRNA from 1 species